AGCCAAUCAUAUCACUUCAUGUUUCUAUGAUUUUUACUCUCUCUCUUUAAUAACUACAUUGCCACAUCAGCAAAAUGCUUAGGUGCCACUGCAAUUAAUGUCUAUAGAAACCAUGGUAGUUUCUGCAUUGGGAGUGCCCUAAAAAUCAAUAGGUAUAGAAACUGUUGAUGCAAAAGUUGAUCUGCAAACACAAAGGGCUAACGAUCCUGGAUACGUGUCCAAAAACGGUGUCAACAGAAACUAUAUGUAGUUUCUAGCAUUGGGAGUGCCCUAAGGGAUUUUGACAUUAUUUGUGGUAUCCACAAUGUGCUUCGCAAUAGGAGAUUCACAAAAAUCAUCAUCCCAGCGCUAUGUUUACAUUUGGGCUAUCCUCACAACGAGUAAUCCUCUGAACCAAGUCGCCUUCUGCCAUUAUUUUACUUUUAUUUUUUAUUUUUUGAUAAUGACCCAGCAUAUAGCGGAUGUUGUGGUACUUUUGUAUCCUUAGGAGUAGUGAAGAUUCGUUAAGAGUACUUCCUCCAUUUCAUAUUGUAAUUUAUUAUAAAAAUAUUAGAGAGUCAAAAUAUCUCAAAUUUGAUCAAAACUAUAGAAAAAAUUACAAAUAUUUAUGACAUCAAUUAGAUAUACUAUAAAAAUAUAAUUAAUAAAGAAUAUAAUAUUACUGUCAUUAUAAAUGUUAUUAUUUUAUAAUAUAAAUUUAGUUAAACAUGAUAUUCUUAAAAUGACUUAUAAUUUAGGAUAAAGAAAGUAACAUUCUUUGCACUAGCCGGUGUACCGGUUAAUGUAUUAAAUGUAUUUUUUUUUAGGAGUCAUGGAUAAAGGGUUGACUGAUCGAUUAACAAGGGAUUCCAGCCAUUGCAAGUUGCAACAGGGGAAAAAAAAGGAACGAACCAAGCCUGUAGAGCCGGAACAAGCACAUUCAGAGGUAGAAGGUGGACGAAAUGGUGAAGACGAUUGUAUUGUAGCUCCAG
rnacentral:lncRNA from 1 species